CCUACGGGGGGCAGCAGUGAGGAAUAUUGGGCAAUGGGCGCAAGCCUGACCCAGCAACGCCGCGUGAAGGAAGAAGGCUUUCGGGUUGUAAACUUCUUUUGUCAGGGAAGAGUAGAAGACGGUACCUGACGAAUCAGCCACGGCUAACUACGUGCCAGCAGCCGCGGUAAUACGUAGGUGGCAAGCGUUGUCCGGAUUUACUGGGUGUAAAGGGCGUGUAGCCGGGUUGACAAGUCAGAUGUGAAAUCCUGCGGCUUAACCGCAGAACUGCAUUUGAAACUGUUGAUCUUGAGUACUGGAGAGGCAGACGGAAUUCCUAGUGAAGCGGUGAAAUGCGUAGAUAUUAGGAGGAACACCAGUGGCGAAGGCGGUCUGCUGGACAGCAACUGACGGUGAGGCGCGAAAGCGUGGGGAGCAAACAGGAUUAGAUACCCGAGUAGUC
rnacentral:rRNA from 1 species